rnacentral:rRNA from 1 species
GCCAGAGCCAUAUCUCACCUGGUUUCCCACUGAAGCUAAGCAGGAUGGAGCCUGGCCAGUACCUCGAUGGAAGACCUCAUGGAGAAAACUAAGGUUGCUGCUGGAA